CUGCUCCUCCGCCCGCGCCGCCCGCAGCUCCGCCCGCCUCCCAAGCCUUGGCAAGGCGCGCGCGCGCACGGGGUCGGGCGCUCCCGGGCCGCGGUGGCACCACGUAGCCUCCUCCUUCCACCGCUCGCUUUAUCCCCGCCCCUUCUCGGGCCAACCCCGAGCGCAGCCGACCCCGAGCGCCGCCGACCCCGAGCGCCGCAGACCCCGAGCGCAGCCGACCCCGAGCGCCGCCGCUGGGUAGGUAGGGAGUGGGAGAGUGGAAGACCGCAGGCGAGAGGGAGAAGGAAGAGCGCCCGGGGAGCAGCCUGGCAGAGUGAUCGGGAUUGAUGAGCGGCGGCUGCUCUGGAGGGACGCAGUCGAGAGGGCCGGGUUGCCUCCCCACCCCUCCUGCCACCUUCCCAUCAGAACCCCAGCUGUGUUCAGUGCCCCUCUGUUAAAGCAGCCACCUGCUCUGGGAAGUCCGGCCCUCUGCAUCACACCUGGCAGUCCCAUUCCUCUCGCUUGUGUGUGGCUCAGGAAUAAGCAGGUGACCCAAUUCUGGUGAACGAGCCAUGAGAAGAAUCCGCUAGAGGUUUCCUUGCGUCUAAGAGAUGGUCCCUUUCACUCUUGGCCUUGGGUUUGGAUGUGACGCCUGAAUCCUCUACAGCCUGAUGACAAAGACCACACCAAGGAUGGAAGUGUGGAAGGAAGAAAAGAACCGGAGCCUUCCAGCCUUUGCCGUAUGGCUGACUUAACCAGCCUUGAAGGUCGCUUUACCCCAGGACUUCCUAUCAGGAGGAAGACCACUAGCGUGUAAUUCAGACCCCAGGUGGUGUGCUUCGUAAGAGCAGUAAUUUGUGCUUCUAAAGUUGUGACACCUGCUCCAGGGAUAGUCAUUUCCAAGAGGGCUAAGUGACUGGAGCCUAGAAGAUGGAGUAGGACAAGGAAUAGCCAAAGGCAGUGGAGAGAGGGAGGCAGAGCAAAGCCUGGAAUCUGGAGAUCAAUACACAUGUAUUUCAACCCACAAUUGCUUUGGCUGCUGAUAUAAAUCAAAGGAAAAAGGAGGGAGAUGCAGGGAGAAAAUGUAAACAGCCAGUACUGCUAUGUGAAUGAAUCUGAGUUAGAUUCCUAAACUCAACUAGGUGCCAAGAAUGAAGGGAUACUCAUGAGUUUUACUGAUAGCCACUCUGGGAAAAGAUUUCCAUCCUGCCAAUGUUGCUGCUGACUUCACCAUGAAUUACAGAGGGCUGUAGUUACAGCAUGAUCCCCUCGCAUGGACGAAUGAAGAAAAUUUGCAACGAUGCCAGAAAUGAAAGAAAUGAGUAUUGUUGCAGGGUGCUGGAAGAUAAUUUGGAGCUCUACCACCGUCUGAUUUUUUUUUUUUUUACCUGUCUAUGAGAAGAGGAGAUGAACGCCUGUUAAAGCAACCAGAAGGCUCUCAGUAAAAAGUAUUAACAAGAUAUCAAUUGAAUCUGCGAAACAGAGAGGUGCUUGAAGGUUAUGAAAGAGGAAACCUGAAAGGAAACCCAGAUGGCACAUCUCUCUUCUUGGCUAGGUAGAUGGAAUGUACAGCCAGAGGACUGGAUGAGGUCAUCCACGGAGAGAACGCAGAGAGACUCCUGGGGCUCACCAACACGAAGAAUUUGGGACAAGAAAGAAGAUCCAGCAGAGAAGAUUGAAAGAAGGCAGCUAAUAAAACAGGAGAGAACCUGGAGAGUUUAGAGUCUUAGAGGCCAAGAAGGUGGUUUAAUAUAAUCCCUAUCAAAGCAUUCGUGGUUUAUUAACUGACAAAAUGCUUCUAAAACAUACCUGAAAAGUAUAAUUAAUGCACACCUAGGAUAAUGGAUCAUUCUGCCACAUUAUUCCUUUUUCACCACUGAUACAGACAUGAUAUUUUCAUGACUUUGUAAAAUAAAAAUGGAAUCUUUCUAAUUUUUUU